rnacentral:lncRNA from 1 species
UCACCUGAAUAGCAGGAGAUGGAUUGCACAUCUCUUGUAUCUGCCAAUUGCCUUAACAAAGGUCUUUUCCUGCUUGGCACAAAGAUAAACAAUCACAAGCAUUGCCUCUUAAGGAGGACUUUAGACAGGUGCCUGGCCAAGUAACAGGCCAGGUCUUCCAAACUACAUGAAGUUAGUGAUGCUAUACCUCAAUUGGUUAAGCAACCAAGCAACAGCAAAAGCAAGUUCACAAUGAACUAUAGCAACUAAUGUACCU